GCUCAGGAUGAACGCUGGCGGCGUGCCUAAUACAUGCAAGUCGAACGAAUCUUCUUCGGAAGAUGAGUGGCGAACGGGUGAGUAAUACAUAGGUAACCUGCCCCUGUGCGGGGGAUAACAGGAGGAAACUCCUGCUAAUACCGCAUAGCCAUGAGCACCGCAUGGAGCUCAUGCCAAAUAUCCUUCACGGGAUAGCGCAGGGAUGGACCUAUGGCGCAUUAGCUAGUUGGCGGGGCAACGGCCCACCAAGGCAACGAUGCGUAGCCGGCCUGAGAGGGCGGACGGCCACAUUGGGACUGAGACACGGCCCAGACUCCUACGGGAGGCAGCAGUAGGGAAUUUUCGGCAAUGGGGGAAACCCUGACCGAGCAACGCCGCGUGAGCGAAGAAGGCCUUCGGGUCGUAAAGCUCUGUUGUAAAGGAAGAACGUCGGACACAGGAAAUGGUGUGCGAGUGACGGUACUUUACCAGAAAGCCACGGCUAACUACGUGCCAGCAGCCGCGGUAAUACGUAGGUGGCGAGCGUUAUCCGGAAUCAUUGGGCGUAAAGAGGGAGCAGGCGGCCGCAAGGGUCUGUGGUGAAAGACCGAAGCUAAACUUCGGUAAGCCAUGGAAACCGGGCGGCUAGAGUGCGGAAGAGGAUCGUGGAAUUCCAUGUGUAGCGGUGAAAUGCGUAGAUAUAUGGAGGAACACCAGUGGCGAAGGCGACGGUCUGGGCCGCAACUGACGCUCAUUCCCGAAAGCGUGGGGAGCAAAUAGGAUUAGAUACCCUAGUAGUCCACGCCGUAAACGAUGGUCACUAAGUGUCGGGGGUCAAACCCCGGUGCUGCAGUCAACGCAAUAAGUGACCCGCCUGAGUAGUACGUUCGCAAGAAUGAAACUCAAAGGAAUUGACGGGGG
rnacentral:rRNA from 1 species